UUUGGUUAAGUUAGAAAGGGCGCACGGUGGAUGCCUUGACACUAGGAGUCGAUGAAGGACGGGACUAACGCCGAUAUGCUUCGGGGAGCUGUAAGUAAGCUUUGAUCCGAAGAUUUCCGAAUGGGGAAACCCACCAUACGUAAUGGUAUGGUAUCCUUAUCUGAAUACAUAGGGUAAGGAAGACAGACCCAGGGAACUGAAACAUCUAAGUACCUGGAGGAAGAGAAAGCAAAUGCGAUUUCCUGAGUAGCGGCGAGCGAAACGGAACAUAGCCCAAACCAAGAGGCUUGCCUCUUGGGGUUGUAGGACAUUCUAUACGGAGUUACAAAGGAACGAGGUAGACGAAGCGACCUGGAAAGGUCCGUCGUAGAGGGUAACAACCCCGUAGUCGAAACUUCGUUCUCUCUUGAAUGUAUCCUGAGUACGGCGGAACACGUGAAAUUCCGUCGGAAUCUGGGAGGACCAUCUCCCAAGGCUAAAUACUCCCUAGUGAUCGAUAGUGAACCAGUACCGUGAGGGAAAGGUGAAAAGCACCCCGGAAGGGGAGUGAAAGAGAUCCUGAAACCGUGUGCCUACAAAUAGUCAGAGCCCGUUAACGGGUGAUGGCGUGCCUUUUGUAGAAUGAACCGGCGAGUUACGAUCCCGUGCGAGGUUAAGCUGAAGAGGCGGAGCCGCAGCGAAAGCGAGUCUGAAUAGGGCGUUUAGUACGUGGUCGUAGACCCGAAACCAGGUGAUCUACCCAUGUCCAGGGUGAAGUUCAGGUAACACUGAAUGGAGGCCCGAACCCACGCACGUUGAAAAGUGCGGGGAUGAGGUGUGGGUAGCGGAGAAAUUCCAAUCGAACCUGGAGAUAGCUGGUUCUCCCCGAAAUAGCUUUAGGGCUAGCCUUAAGUGUAAGAGUCUUGGAGGUAGAGCACUGAUUGGACUAGGGGUCCUCAUCGGAUUACCGAAUUCAGUCAAACUCCGAAUGCCAAUGACUUAUCCUUAGGAGUCAGACUGCGAGUGAUAAGAUCCGUAGUCAAAAGGGAAACAGCCCAGACCGCCAGCUAAGGUCCCAAAGUGUGUAUUAAGUGGAAAAGGAUGUGGAGUUGCUUAGACAACUAGGAUGUUGGCUUAGAAGCAGCCACCAUUUAAAGAGUGCGUAAUAGCUCACUAGUCGAGUGACUCUGCGCCGAAAAUGUACCGGGGCUAAAUACACCACCGAAGCUGCGGAUUGAUACCAAUGGUAUCAGUGGUAGGGGAGCGUUCUAAGGACAGUGAAGUCAGACCGGAAGGACUGGUGGAGUGCUUAGAAGUGAGAAUGCCGGUAUGAGUAGCGAAAGACGGGUGAGAAUCCCGUCCACCGAAUGCCUAAGGUUUCCUGAGGAAGGCUCGUCCGCUCAGGGUUAGUCAGGACCUAAGCCGAGGCCGACAGGCGUAGGCGAUGGACAACAGGUUGAUAUUCCUGUACCACCUCUUUAUCGUUUGAGCAAUGGAGGGACGCAGAAGGAUAGAAGAAGCGUGCGAUUGGUUGUGCACGUCCAAGCAGUUAGGCUGAUAAGUAGGCAAAUCCGCUUAUCRURAAGGCUGAGCUGUGAUGGGGAAGCUCCUUAUGGAGCGAAGUCUUUGAUUCCCCGCUGCCAAGAAAAGCUUCUAGCGAGAUAAAAGGUGCCUGUACCGCAAACCGACACAGGUAGGCGAGGAGAGAAUCCUAAGGUGUGCGAGAGAACUCUGGUUAAGGAACUCGGCAAAAUGACCCCGUAACUUCGGGAGAAGGGGUGCUUUCUUAACGGAAAGCCGCAGUGAAUAGGCCCAAGCGACUGUUUAGCAAAAACACAGCUCUCUGCGAAGCCGUAAGGCGAAGUAUAGGGGGUGACACCUGCCCGGUGCUGGAAGGUUAAGGAGAGGGGUUAGCGUAAGCGAAGCUCUGAACUGAAGCCCCAGUAAACGGCGGCCGUAACUAUAACGGUCCUAAGGUAGCGAAAUUCCUUGUCGGGUAAGUUCCGACCCGCACGAAAGGUGUAACGAUUUGGGCACUGUCUCAACCAGAGACUCGGUGAAAUUAUAGUACCUGUGAAGAUGCAGGUUACCCGCGACAGGACGGAAAGACCCCGUGGAGCUUUACUGUAGCCUGAUAUUGAAUUUUGGUACAGUUUGUACAGGAUAGGCGGGAGCCAUUGAAACCGGAGCGCUAGCUUCGGUGGAGGCGCUGGUGGGAUACCGCCCUGACUGUAUUGAAAUUCUAACCUACGGGUCUUAUCGACCCGGGAGACAGUGUCAGGUGGGCAGUUUGACUGGGGCGGUCGCCUCCUAAAGUGUAACGGAGGCGCCCAAAGGUUCCCUCAGAAUGGUUGGAAAUCAUUCGUAGAGUGCAAAGGCAUAAGGGAGCUUGACUGCGAGACCUACAAGUCGAGCAGGGACGAAAGUCGGGCUUAGUGAUCCGGUGGUUCCGCAUGGAAGGGCCAUCGCUCAACGGAUAAAAGCUACCCCGGGGAUAACAGGCUUAUCUCCCCCAAGAGUCCACAUCGACGGGGAGGUUUGGCACCUCGAUGUCGGCUCAUCGCAUCCUGGGGCUGUAGUCGGUCCCAAGGGUUGGGCUGUUCGCCCAUUAAAGCGGUACGCGAGCUGGGUUCAGAACGUCGUGAGACAGUUCGGUCCCUAUCCGUCGUGGGCGUAGGAAAUUUGAGAGGAGCUGUCCUUAGUACGAGAGGACCGGGAUGGACGCACCGCUGGUGUACCAGUUGUUCUGCCAAGGGCAUAGCUGGGUAGCUAUGUGCGGAAGGGAUAAGUGCUGAAAGCAUCUAAGCAUGAAGCCCCCCUCAAGAUGAGAUUUCCCAUAGCGUAAGCUAGUAAGAUCCCUGAAAGAUGAUCAGGUUGAUAGGUUCGAGGUGGAAGCAUGGUGACAUGUGGAGCUGACGAAUACUAAUAGAUCGAGGACUUAACCAUAUAA
rnacentral:rRNA from 1 species